rnacentral:rRNA from 1 species
AUUGAACGCUGGCGGCAGGCCUAACACAUGCAAGUCGAACGGUAACAGAAAGCAGCUUGCUGCUUUGCUGACGAGUGGCGGACGGGUGAGUAAUGUCUGGGAAACUGCCUGAUGGAGGGGGAUAACUACUGGAAACGGUAGCUAAUACCGCAUAACGUCGCAAGACCAAAGAGGGGGACCUUCGGGCCUCUUGCCAUCGGGUGUGCCCAGAUGGGAUUAGCUUGUUGGUGGGGUAACGGCUCACCAAGGCGACGAUCCCUAGCUGGUCUGAGAGGAUGACCAGCCACACUGGAACUGAGACACGGUCCAGACUCCUACGGGAGGCAGCAGUGGGGAAUAUUGCACAAUGGGCGCAAGCCUGAUGCAGCCAUGCCGCGUGUAUGAAGAAGGCCUUCGGGUUGUAAAGUACUUUCAGCGGGGAGGAAGGGAGUAAAGUUAAUACCUUUGCUUAUUGACGUUACCCGCAGAAGAAGCACCGGCUAACUCCGUG